rnacentral:rRNA from 1 species
CGGGACGGGUGAGUAACGCGUGGAGAACCUGCCGUAUACUGGGGGAUAACACUUAGAAUAGGUGCUAAUACCGCAUAAGCGCACAGCUUCGCAUGAAGCAGUGUGAAAAACUCCGGUGGUAUACGAUGGAUCCGCGUCUGAUUAGCUGGUUGGCGGGGUAAGGCCCACCAAGGCGACGAUCAGUAGCCGGCCUGAGAGGGUGAACGGCCACAUUGGGACUGAGACACGGCCCAAACUCCUACGGGAGGCAGCAG